rnacentral:rRNA from 1 species
GACGAACGCUGGCGGCGUGCUUAACACAUGCAAGUCGAACGGAAAGGCCCUGCUUGCAGGGUACUCGAGUGGCGAACGGGUGAGUAACACGUGGGUGAUCUGCCCUGCACUUCGGGAUAAGCCUGGGAAACUGGGUCUAAUACCGGAUAGGAGCCAUUUUUAGUGUGAUGGUUGGAAAGUUUUUUCGGUGUAGGAUGAGCUCGCGGCCUAUCAGCUUGUUGGUGGGGUAAUGGCCUACCAAGGCGGCGACGGGUAGCCGGCCUGGGAGGGUGGACGGCCACAUUGGGACUGAGAUACGGCCCAGACUCCUACGGGAGGCAGCAGUGGGGAAUUUUGCACAAUGGGCGCAAGCCUGAUGCAGCGACGCCGCGUGGGGGAUGACGGCCUUCGGGUUGUAAACUCCUUUCGCUAGGGACGAAGCUUUUUGUGACGGUACCUAGAUAAGAAGCACCGGCUAACUACGUG